rnacentral:rRNA from 1 species
CCUACGGGAGGCUGCAGUGAGGAAUAUUGGUCAAUGGACGAGAGUCUGAACCAGCCAAGUAGCGUGAAGGAUGACUGCCCUAUGGGUUGUAAACUUCUUUUAUAUGGGAAUAAAAUGCUGUAUGUGUGGUAUUUUGUAUGUACCUUAUGAAUAAGGAUCGGCUAACUCCGUGCCAGCAGCCGCGGUAAUACGGAGGAUCCGAGCGUUAUCCGGAUUUAUUGGGUUUAAAGGGAGCGUAGGUGGGUUGUUAAGUCAGUUGUGAAAGUUUGCGGCUCAACCGUAAAAUUGCAGUUGAUACUGGCAGUCUUGAGUACAGUAGAGGUGGGCGGAAUUCGUGGUGUAGCGGUGAAAUGCUUAGAUAUCACGAAGAACUCCGAUUGCGAAGGCAGCUCGCUGGACUGCAACUGACACUGAGGCUCGAAAGUGUGGGUAUCAAACAGGAUUAGAUACCCCUGUAGUC